GUAGUGUUAGCAUUUAUUUUAUCACCCCCAAAGUGUGUGGAAUGAAUGGGAUUUGGGGUUAGGAUUCAGAGGAUUUGGAGCCUCCAUCCCUGGAAUGUAUUAGACUACAUAUUUAAAAACAAGAAUAAUGUCUAAUUUAUAGGGAUGCCAUAUGAAAGAAUGUGGGGGAAGGAACAAAAAGGAUAGGAAAGAGAGAAGUUUCCUUGCAAAUCUUCCUUAAUAGGUUUUUGAUAACAAUAAAAAUAAAGCACUAUUCUAAGAAAAUAUAAACAGAAGCUUUUCCAUUGUAACUGAAAGCUUUAGUACUUGAUUUGAUUUUCUGGGCAAGUUGAGCAGUAGCCACAAACUAACCCACACCACUAUCUCUAUUUGUUCUUCUGAGAUCCCUAUAAACAAAGUUACCUGUUACAUCUUGCAUAGGAUAUGCUUUCUGAAUUCCUCUUGGCUAAUUUUGGCCAGGUACAAUGUUUCUGGAGAUAGUUGUAUUGAUUUACGAAACUUGAGUUUGGAAUUGUUGGAGGGUAAUAUGAGUUAUCCUGCUUAUUUAAGAUUUGAUUGAGAAAAAUGUAGGUAUUUUCAAGACAUCCAGUGAAUUAAAACCUGUGUUUUAGAACUAGAAAAAAUUCUAUAAAAGAAAAAAAAAAACUACAGCAUCAUAACUACUCUUUUCAGGUGGGAAUAAAUUUAUUGUUCUCUUCCUCUUACCAAAGAGAUGUUACAUCUGUGUUUUCAUCAAACCUCACAUUAUUUAAAUAGCAUGUGUUCAUCUUUAUGGUGGAUUAUAAGAAUAAUUGCUUGAGUGAAAAUGGAAUUUGACAAUAGAGUGUAGACUACUUUCAAGCUGUGACAGUGUUCCACUGUGGCAGGUUUGCAAUUGGAGGAAGUGCAGUCCACCUAUCAAAAUGUGAGGUAUUCCACAAGGCAGUGUGGCAUUUGAAUCUUGUCUAGUUAAAUGGAAGUGUGAUGUUAUGCAGUACUGGAAAGGAAAUGCUAAAUCAAAUU
rnacentral:lncRNA from 1 species